rnacentral:rRNA from 1 species
AGCGCAUACGGUGGAUGCCUUGGCAGUCAGAGGCGAUGAAAGACGUGGUAGCCUGCGAAAAGCUUCGGGGAGUCGGCAAACAGACUGUGAUCCGGAGAUAUCUGAAUGGGGGAACCCAGCCAUCAUAAGAUGGUUAUCUUGUACUGAAUACAUAGGUGCAAGAGGCGAACCAGGGGAACUGAAACAUCUAAGUACCCUGAGGAAAAGAAAUCAACCGAGAUUCCCUUAGUAGUGGCGAGCGAACGGGGACCAGCCCUUAAGUUGUAUUGAGAUUAGCGGAACGUUCUGGAAAGGACGGCCAUAGUGGGUGAUAGCCCUGUACGCGAAAAUCCCUUUGCAAUGAAAUCGAGUAGGACGGGGCACGAGAAACCUUGUCUGAAUAUGGGGGGACCAUCCUCCAAGGCUAAAUACUACUGACUGACCGAUAGUGAACCAGUACCGUGAGGGAAAGGCGAAAAGAACCGCGGAGAGCGGAGUGAAAUAGAUCCUGAAACCGUAUGCGUACAAGCAGUGGGAGCCCACUUGUUGGGUGACUGCGUACCUUUUGUAUAAUGGGUCAGCGACUUAUUUUCAGUGGCGAGCUUAACCGAAUAGGGGAGGCGUAGCGAAAGCGAGUCUUAAUAGGGCGUCUAGUCGCUGGGAAUAGACCCGAAACCGGGCGAUCUAUCCAUGGGCAGGUUGAAGGUUGGGUAACACUAACUGGAGGACCGAACCGACUACCGUUGAAAAGUUAGCGGAUGACCUGUGGAUCGGAGUGAAAGGCUAAUCAAGCUCGGAGAUAGCUGGUUCUCCUCGAAAGCUAUUUAGGUAGCGCCUCAUGUAUCACUGUAGGGGGUAGAGCACUGUUUCGGCUAGGGGGUCAUCCCGACUUACCAAACCGAUGCAAACUCCGAAUACCUACAAGUGCCGAGCAUGGGAGACACACGGCGGGUGCUAACGUCCGUCGUGAAAAGGGAAACAACCCAGACCGUCAGCUAAGGUCCCAAAGUCAUGGUUAAGUGGGAAACGAUGUGGGAAGGCUUAGACAGCUAGGAGGUUGGCUUAGAAGCAGCCACCCUUUAAAGAAAGCGUAAUAGCUCACUAGUCGAGUCGGCCUGCGCGGAAGAUGUAACGGGGCUCAAACCAUGCACCGAAGCUACGGGUAUCAUCUUAGGAUGAUGCGGUAGAGGAGCGUUCUGUAAGCCUGUGAAGGUGAGUUGAGAAGCUUGCUGGAGGUAUCAGAAGUGCGAAUGCUGACAUGAGUAACGACAAUGGGUGUGAAAAACACCCACGCCGAAAGACCAAGGUUUCCUGCGCAACGUUAAUCGACGCAGGGUUAGUCGGUCCCUAAGGCGAGGCUGAAAAGCGUAGUCGAUGGAAAACAGGUUAAUAUUCCUGUACUUCUGGUUAUUGCGAUGGAGGGACGGAGAAGGCUAGGCCAGCCUGGCGUUGGUAGUCCAGGUUUAAGGUGGUAGGCUGAGAUCUUAGGUAAAUCCGGGAUCUUAAGGCCGAGAGCUGAUGACGAGUGUUCUUUUAGAACAUGAAGUGGUUGAUGCCAUGCUUCCAAGAAAAGCUUCUAAGCUUCAGGUAACCAGGAACCGUACCCCAAACCGACACAGGUGGUUGGGUAGAGAAUACCAAGGCGCUUGAGAGAACUCGGGUGAAGGAACUAGGCAAAAUGGCACCGUAACUUCGGGAGAAGGUGCGCCGGUGGAGGUGAAGCAUUUACUGCGUAAGCCCCUGCCGGUCGAAGAUACCAGGCCGCUGCGACUGUUUAUUAAAAACACAGCACUCUGCAAACACGAAAGUGGACGUAUAGGGUGUGACGCCUGCCCGGUGCCGGAAGGUUAAUUGAUGGGGUUAGCGCAAGCGAAGCUCUUGAUCGAAGCCCCGGUAAACGGCGGCCGUAACUAUAACGGUCCUAAGGUAGCGAAAUUCCUUGUCGGGUAAGUUCCGACCUGCACGAAUGGCGUAACGAUGGCGGCGCUGUCUCCACCCGAGACUCAGUGAAAUUGAAAUCGCUGUGAAGAUGCAGUGUAUCCGCGGCUAGACGGAAAGACCCCGUGAACCUUUACUAUAGCUUUGCACUGGACUUUGAAUUUGCUUGUGUAGGAUAGGUGGGAGGCUUUGAAGCGUGGACGCCAGUCUGCGUGGAGCCAACCUUGAAAUACCACCCUGGCAACUUUGAGGUUCUAACUCAGGUCCGUUAUCCGGAUCGAGGACAGUGUAUGGUGGGUAGUUUGACUGGGGCGGUCUCCUCCUAAAGAGUAACGGAGGAGUACGAAGGUGCGCUCAGACCGGUCGGAAAUCGGUCGUAGAGUAUAAAGGCAAAAGCGCGCUUGACUGCGAGACAGACACGUCGAGCAGGUACGAAAGUAGGUCUUAGUGAUCCGGUGGUUCUGUAUGGAAGGGCCAUCGCUCAACGGAUAAAAGGUACUCCGGGGAUAACAGGCUGAUACCGCCCAAGAGUUCAUAUCGACGGCGGUGUUUGGCACCUCGAUGUCGGCUCAUCACAUCCUGGGGCUGAAGCCGGUCCCAAGGGUAUGGCUGUUCGCCAUUUAAAGUGGUACGCGAGCUGGGUUUAGAACGUCGUGAGACAGUUCGGUCCCUAUCUGCCGUGGACGUUUGAGAUUUGAGAGGGGCUGCUCCUAGUACGAGAGGACCGGAGUGGACGAACCUCUGGUGUUCCGGUUGUCACGCCAGUGGCAUUGCCGGGUAGCUAUGUUCGGAAAAGAUAACCGCUGAAAGCAUCUAAGCGGGAAACUUGCCUCAAGAUGAGAUCUCACUGGAACCUUGA